rnacentral:rRNA from 1 species
CCUACGGGUGGCUGCAGUGGGGAAUAUUGGACAAUGGGCGCAAGCCUGAUCCAGCCAUGCCGCGUGUGUGAAGAAGGCCUUCGGGUUGUAAAGCACUUUUGUUCGGGAAGAAAUCGUGCGGAUUAAUACUUCGUACGGAUGACGGUACCGAAAGAAUAAGCACCGGCUAACUUCGUGCCAGCAGCCGCGGUAAUACGAAGGGUGCAAGCGUUACUCGGAAUCACUGGGCGUAAAGCGUGCGUAGGCGGUUGGUUAAGUCUGCUGUGAAAGCCCUG